UACGGAGGGUGCAAGCGUUAUCCGGAUUCACUGGGUUUAAAGGGUGUGUAGGCGGAUUUUUAAGUCAGUGGUGAAAUCUCCGGGCUCAACCCGGAAACUGCCAUUGAUACUAUUAGUCUUGAAUUCUGUUGAGGUGGGCGGAAUACAUCAUGUAGCGGUGAAAUGCUUAGAUAUGAUGUAGAACACCGAUUGCGAAGGCAGCUCACUAAGCAGAACAUUGACGCUGAGGCACGAAAGCGUGGGGAUCAAACAGGA
rnacentral:rRNA from 1 species